GGAUUGGCGCCCGCGAUGGUGAGGUGGGACAGCUGCUUGGUAUGUGUAGCAGCGUAGGAAAGGUGAGGCUUUGGAGUGGUUUGCUCGAUCGCUUGGAAGAGGAGGAGAGUGGGUCCCCCCCCUUUCCCCUCCACAAAUGCACUGAGCAAACCUGUCAUCUCUCCUACAGGAGCGUGCUUUAGAAGCACACAGAUCGGUAUGAGCUUUACAUCAAACGGCCGGAUGCAGUGACGCCAAGGGAGCUUUACCUCUCACCUCCCCCCAUCGCCAAUUAUUCGACAAAAAUCUUACCAUGCAUGUGCGAUGCUUUCUAUAGAUGCAGAUGAAGUUCGUGGGCGGGUGAAGCUUGGGAGCGAUUACCCUUGGAUAGUAUGACUACAGCGUAUUGGAAGGCUGCAAGCAGAGUGAAUCGAUGGGCCCAUCUCUGUUGCUCAAUGGAUGGGGGUGAUGUCGUCUGUUGCUAGCUGGCCUCGUUGAUGGUGGGGUGGGGUCAGCUUGGGAUUCUUCCAACAAUGCUAAAUAAUUGGGGAGAGGAGGGAGGACAUCAGGUGUUUAUGUCGUGGCAGAGGUAUUUAAUGUACUAAAAGGGAGAAGGAGCACAUAGUAUUUUUAACUGCUUUUCCUUUCAACUCUUCUAAUUGCACUCUGAGGACUGUGUUUUUAUUGCAGCUACACAUACUCAUAUAAUGGAAUUAAGUGUGAGAGGGUGUGUGAGAGAUGAGGCUACUCAUUAUUCAGCUGUGUAAUUUAAGAAAGGAUAAAAAUUCUUAUUCCAGCUUCAGAGUGACCCAAUGGGGGGGUGUGGGUUUGGGUUUUCCUCCUUGCCACAGUUGAGACAGGUGGGUGAAUGAAGCAGACAGGGUAGAAUAGUAGAAUAGUAGUCUAACUGAGUAGAAAUAUUUUCUGCAUUGGAAUGGAGGCAUUCUGUACUUCUGAUCUACAAACCCAUUCUCAUGAUUCUAAGAAGUAAAACUCUGGCAUUGCUUGCUUCAGCCAGUGGUGGAGGAAGGUGGGAGGCCCUGGAUGCCAUUUUCCUACUUGGAGAGACGCUUUGAUAUUCCAGCCUUCCUCAAUGCAGGUACCUUUCAGAUAUUUGGACUACAGCUCCCAGUAACUUCAGUUUGCUGGCUGGGACUGAUGGUAGUUGUAGUCUAAAAUGCCAGGAAUGUGCUAUGUUGUGGAAGGCUGCCUAGAUCUUAAAAUGUAGUUUUCAGGUUUACAUUUAGCAAUUAAUUUGGUUUGGUUAGUCACCUGUCAUCACCAAGUGUUUCUAAAAGUCUGUUUCAAAAGUGGUUUGACAGGAUGACUGCUGUUGGAAGAAAAUAACUAUAAGGCCUUGAAAACAAUUCAGUGGUUCUUUAGAUGAAUUGAGUGUUUCCAAAACAAUGAGAUGCUUAAUAUCUAAAAUCCCAAGGGGUGAUAUUUCUGUCAGUUAAAUGAAAAAGCAUUGGGAUUCUGUUUGUGUGAAAAUUGGUAGCCACAUAAAUUUAUUUUAAUGUU